rnacentral:rRNA from 1 species
GAGGUAACGGCUCACCAAGGACACGAUGCAUAUCCGACCUGUGAGGGUGUUCGGCCACCUUGGGACAGAGACACGGUCCAAACUCCUACGGUAGGCAGCCUCAGCGAACCUUCGGCAAUGCACGAAAGUCCGACCGAGCAACGCCGCGGGAGGUCAGAAGGUUUUCGGAUCCUAAAACUCUGUUGUUAGCGAAGAACAAGGAUGAGAGUAAAUGUUCAUCCCUUGACGGUAUCUAACCAGAAAGCCACGGCUACCUACGUGCCAGCAGCCGCGGAACUCCGUAGGAGGAACGCGUUCCCCGGAUUCAUUGGCCGCGCAGCGAGCGAAGGGGGUUUCGUAGUACUGAUGUGUAGGCCCCCGGUGCCUCCG